rnacentral:rRNA from 1 species
UAAUCCCAAAAGCUAGCCCGACCACCCCAAAACAACAAACAACAUUUAUAAACCCAAAAACCCCAAUAAACACAAAUUAAACCAUUUUUCCCCCCGAGUAUGGGAGACAGAAAAGGAAAUAGGCGCUAUAAAAAAAGUACCGCAAGGGAAAGCUGAAAGAGAAGUGAAACAACCCAGUUAAGACCAAAAAAGCAGAGAUUUAUCCUCGUACCUUUUGCAUCAUGAAUUAGCCAGCAUGCCCGAGCAAAGCGCACUUUAUGUUCGAAGCCCCGAAACCAAGCGAGCUACUCCAAGACAGCCUAUGACAGGGCAAACCCGUCUCUGUGGCAAAAGAGUGGGAAGAGCUUUGAGUAGAGGUGAUAGACCUACCGAGCUUGGUAAUAGCUGGUUGCCUAAGAACUGAAUAGAAGUUCAGCCUUUUAAUAUCCUCAACUUAAAAAUGGUAUUACCUAUGCCAAACCAAAAGGAAUUAAAAGAGUUACUCAAAAGAGGUUCAGCCCUUUUGAGGCAAGACACAACUUUAUGAUGAAGGCUAAAGAUUAAAAGAAACAAGGAAAAACACCCAGGUGGGCUUAAAAGCAGCCACCCUUAGAGAAAGCGUUAAAGCUCCAAUAAUAAAUAACCUCUAAUAACAACAACAACAUCUCAAACCUCAAAAUAUUAUUAGGCCAUUUUACGCCCCCGUAAAAAAGACCCUGCUAGUAUGAGUAAUAAGAGGGAUAUGACCCUCUCCCAACACCCGUGUAAAUCAGAACGAACAUACCACUGAAAAUUAACGCCCCCAAUACAUAGAGGGAAUCAAGACAACCAACACAUUAAACGAGAAAACCCCUCCCCCACCAAAGCGUUACCCCAACACAGGAGUGUCCAAGGAAAGACUAAAAGAAAAAGAAGGAACUCGGCAAACACUGGCCUCGCCUGUUUACCAAAAACAUCGCCUCUUGCACCCCUAGUAUAAGAGGUCCCGCCUGCCCUGUGACCAAAAGUUUAACGGCCGCGGUAUUCUGACCGUGCGAAGGUAGCGCAAUCACUUGUUUUUUAAAUGAAGACCAGUAUGAAUGGCAUAACGAGGGCUGAGCUGUCUCCUUUCUCCAGUCAAUGAAAUUGAUCUGCCCGUGCAGAAGCGGGUAUAUGAACACAAGACGAGAAGACCCUAUGGAGCUUCAGACACCAGAACAGCCCAUAUAAUGCCCUUUCCCUAAAACAAAGUUAAGAGUAAAAUUAAGUGGCCCCUGCUCUAUUGUCUUUGGUUGGGGCGACCGCGGAGAAACAAAAAUCUUCCAUGUGGAAUGGGACCUAACCCCCCAAAACCAGAGCUACAGCUCUAAUUAACAGAACUUCUGACCAAAAAGACCCGGCAGAGCCGAUCAACGGACCGAGUUACCCUAGGGAUAACAGCGCAAUCCUCUUUUAGAGCCCAUAUCGACAAGAGGGUUUACGACCUCGAUGUUGGAUCAGGACAUCCUAAUGGUGCAGCAGCUAUUAAGGGUUC